rnacentral:rRNA from 1 species
GGGUUGUGAGGUUAAGCGACUAAGCGUACACGGUGGAUGCCCUGGCAGUCAGAGGCGAUGAAGGACGUGCUAAUCUGCGAUAAGCGUCGGUAAGGUGAUAUGAACCGUUAUAACCGGCGAUUUCCGAAUGGGGAAACCCAGUGUGUUUCGACACACUAUCAUUAACUGAAUCCAUAGGUUAAUGAGGCGAACCGGGGGAACUGAAACAUCUAAGUACCCCGAGGAAAAGAAAUCAACCGAGAUUCCCCCAGUAGCGGCGAGCGAACGGGGAGCAGCCCAGAGCCUGAAUCAGUGUGUGUGUUAGUGGAAGCGUCUGGAAAGGCGCGCGAUACAGGGUGACAGCCCCGUACACAAAAAUGCACAUGCUGUGAGCUCGAUGAGUAGGGCGGGACACGUGGUAUCCUGUCUGAAUAUGGGGGGACCAUCCUCCAAGGCUAAAUACUCCUGACUGACCGAUAGUGAACCAGUACCGUGAGGGAAAGGCGAAAAGAACCCCGGCGAGGGGAGUGAAAAAGAACCUGAAACCGUGUACGUACAAGCAGUGGGAGCACGCUUAGGCGUGUGACUGCGUACCUUUUGUAUAAUGGGUCAGCGACUUAUAUUCUGUAGCAAGGUUAACCGAAUAGGGGAGCCGAAGGGAAACCGAGUCUUAACUGGGCGUUAAGUUGCAGGGUAUAGACCCGAAACCCGGUGAUCUAGCCAUGGGCAGGUUGAAGGUUGGGUAACACUAACUGGAGGACCGAACCGACUAAUGUUGAAAAAUUAGCGGAUGACUUGUGGCUGGGGGUGAAAGGCCAAUCAAACCGGGAGAUAGCUGGUUCUCCCCGAAAGCUAUUUAGGUAGCGCCUCGUGAAUUCAUCUCCGGGGGUAGAGCACUGUUUCGGCAAGGGGGUCAUCCCGACUUACCAACCCGAUGCAAACUGCGAAUACCGGAGAAUGUUAUCACGGGAGACACACGGCGGGUGCUAACGUCCGUCGUGAAGAGGGAAACAACCCAGACCGCCAGCUAAGGUCCCAAAGUCAUGGUUAAGUGGGAAACGAUGUGGGAAGGCCCAGACAGCCAGGAUGUUGGCUUAGAAGCAGCCAUCAUUUAAAGAAAGCGUAAUAGCUCACUGGUCGAGUCGGCCUGCGCGGAAGAUGUAACGGGGCUAAACCAUGCACCGAAGCUGCGGCAGCGACACUAUGUGUUGUUGGGUAGGGGAGCGUUCUGUAAGCCUGUGAAGGUGUACUGUGAGGUAUGCUGGAGGUAUCAGAAGUGCGAAUGCUGACAUAAGUAACGAUAAAGCGGGUGAAAAGCCCGCUCGCCGGAAGACCAAGGGUUCCUGUCCAACGUUAAUCGGGGCAGGGUGAGUCGACCCCUAAGGCGAGGCCGAAAGGCGUAGUCGAUGGGAAACAGGUUAAUAUUCCUGUACUUGGUGUUACUGCGAAGGGGGGACGGAGAAGGCUAUGUUGGCCGGGCGACGGUUGUCCCGGUUUAAGCGUGUAGGCUGGUUUUCCAGGCAAAUCCGGAAAAUCAAGGCUGAGGCGUGAUGACGAGGCACUACGGUGCUGAAGCAACAAAUGCCCUGCUUCCAGGAAAAGCCUCUAAGCAUCAGGUAACAUCAAAUCGUACCCCAAACCGACACAGGUGGUCAGGUAGAGAAUACCAAGGCGCUUGAGAGAACUCGGGUGAAGGAACUAGGCAAAAUGGUGCCGUAACUUCGGGAGAAGGCACGCUGAUAUGUAGGUGAAGUCCCUCGCGGAUGGAGCUGAAAUCAGUCGAAGAUACCAGCUGGCUGCAACUGUUUAUUAAAAACACAGCACUGUGCAAACACGAAAGUGGACGUAUACGGUGUGACGCCUGCCCGGUGCCGGAAGGUUAAUUGAUGGGGUUAGCCGCAAGGCGAAGCUCUUGAUCGAAGCCCCGGUAAACGGCGGCCGUAACUAUAACGGUCCUAAGGUAGCGAAAUUCCUUGUCGGGUAAGUUCCGACCUGCACGAAUGGCGUAAUGAUGGCCAGGCUGUCUCCACCCGAGACUCAGUGAAAUUGAACUCGCUGUGAAGAUGCAGUGUACCCGCGGCAAGACGGAAAGACCCCGUGAACCUUUACUAUAGCUUGACACUGAACAUUGAGCCUUGAUGUGUAGGAUAGGUGGGAGGCUUUGAAGUGUGGACGCCAGUCUGCAUGGAGCCGACCUUGAAAUACCACCCUUUAAUGUUUGAUGUUCUAACGUUGACCCGUAAUCCGGGUUGCGGACAGUGUCUGGUGGGUAGUUUGACUGGGGCGGUCUCCUCCUAAAGAGUAACGGAGGAGCACGAAGGUUGGCUAAUCCUGGUCGGACAUCAGGAGGUUAGUGCAAUGGCAUAAGCCAGCUUGACUGCGAGCGUGACGGCGCGAGCAGGUGCGAAAGCAGGUCAUAGUGAUCCGGUGGUUCUGAAUGGAAGGGCCAUCGCUCAACGGAUAAAAGGUACUCCGGGGAUAACAGGCUGAUACCGCCCAAGAGUUCAUAUCGACGGCGGUGUUUGGCACCUCGAUGUCGGCUCAUCACAUCCUGGGGCUGAAGUAGGUCCCAAGGGUAUGGCUGUUCGCCAUUUAAAGUGGUACGCGAGCUGGGUUUAGAACGUCGUGAGACAGUUCGGUCCCUAUCUGCCGUGGGCGCUGGAGAACUGAGGGGGGCUGCUCCUAGUACGAGAGGACCGGAGUGGACGCAUCACUGGUGUUCGGGUUGUCAUGCCAAUGGCACUGCCCGGUAGCUAAAUGCGGAAGAGAUAAGUGCUGAAAGCAUCUAAGCACGAAACUUGCCCCGAGAUGAGUUCUCCCUGACCCUUUAAGGGUCCUGAAGGAACGUUGAAGACGACGACGUUGAUAGGCCGGGUGUGUAAGCGCAGCGAUGCGUUGAGCUAACCGGUACUAAUGAACCGUGAGGCUUAACCUUACAACGCCGAAGCUGUU